GGCGUCUCGCCGACAGCGAGUGCGCAGCGCGGAGCAAUACAGCAUUGUCACCUGAGCCGCUAACUGGAAGCCCGCGAAAUUCUUUCCUCGUAGACGCAUGAGACGCUCCGUGAAGUUUUAAGUGUUUGGAAGUGCAUCUAGUGUUUGGUCUUUGGCCGACUGUACCCCCGCAAAGCAAAGCCAGCCGUGUGGACAGUGAAGAAGCAGAUAUUGCACGCUGAAAACAUCACCUCAUCACAGAUGCAUCGUGCACUGACACUAUCUUGUGGUCUCCAGAGACGAGUACAACCUGCGCUAUGGGAAAC